GAAAUGCGAUAAGUAAUGUGAAUUGCAGAAUUCAGUGAAUCAUCGAAUCUUUGAACGCACCUUGCGCCUCUUGGCUAUUCCGAGGGGCAUGCCUGUUUGAGUAUCAUGAACACCUCAACUCUUCACGGUUUUUCCGUGAUGAGCUUGGACUUCUGGAGGUUUUGCUGGCCUAUGGUCGGCUCCUCUCAAAUUGAUCAGCUUACCAGUGUUUGGUGGCGUCAUGGGUGUGAUAACUAUCUACGCUUGUGGCCGUCUGCCAGGUAACCUUCAGCGAUGGAGGUUCGCCGGGGCUUACAAAUGUCUCUCCCAAGCGAAGACAGCUUUUUGAACGUUCGAUCUCAAAUCAGGUAGGACUACCCGCUGAACUUAA
rnacentral:misc_RNA from 1 species